GCAAAUAUCCUCAAUCACUUUGGAAAAAAAAAAGUUUGUUCUUGCCAUUCUCUUCAUUUCUCUGUGCAUGAUAUUAUCCAACUUCAGUGUCAAUAUUGAGGCAAAAAAUUCUCAUUCAAAGAAACAAUUAUUGAUGAUAUUCAUAUAGCUUUCAAGCAAAACAGACUGAUUUCAAGACAACUUGUUGAGUUCUAUCUAAAUGAAAUUCAUAGAGCUAAUCCAAUUCUAAAAGGAACCAUAGAAGUGAAUCCAGAUGCACUCUUUCUUGCAGAUAAAGCUGAUCAAGAUCAAGAACGAAAAGCGAAAACGCAUGAAUCACUGUCCAGCAGGCUACAUGGUGUCCCAGUUCUUGUCAAGGACCACAUUGCAACAAAGGAUAAGCUUGACACAACAGCAGGAUCAUUAGCACUUGUUGGAUCCCUGGUGCCACAAGAUGCUGGUGUGGUCAAGAAGUUGAGAAAAGCUGGUGCCAUCAUACUGGCAAGGCAACUAUGACUGAGUGGGCUGCUUUCAGGUCUGAUAAGUUGCCUAAUGGUUGGAAUGGAAGAUUUAGCCAAGCUCUGGUUUUUACAGAAUCCUCAUGUAGCAAGUGCUGAUCCAUCAGGAUCAAGCACUGGUUCUGCAACAUCAGUAGCAGCAAACAUGGCAGCAAUAUCACUGGGGACAGAAACUGCAGGCUCUAUUCUAUCUCCAUCUGGUGCUAAUUCAGUUGUUGGAGUCAAACCAACUGUUGGCCACACAAGCAGGGCAGGUUGUUGUCCCAUUUUCACAUAAGCAAGACACUGUUAGGGAAGUCUUUCUGGAACCUAAGCGAUUUGUUCUGCCCAACAACUGGCCUUUGUCCACUGAUCUUCAGAAUUCCUGUUCUGGUCAGUUGAACCCUCACUUGUUCCUUUUUGAAACCUGCAGAAUUUUCGAUGUUACUGUAUUAACGUCAAACAUGGCCCAUGAAUAUGUCAAAAGGCCGUAAAUAAUCUACUCUUAAAUGCUAUGUUGCUCGAACUCUUCAAAACGAUCGCCGGGUGUGUGUCAGAUCCUCGAAAAACUAUGCAUUUUUGGAGGAUUCGACGCGAGUGCAACAGAAUUUUGAAGGGUCUAAGCAACAUAGCUGAAAUGUGACAUUUCCGUCCUAUUGUGACAUCUGAAUUGUUGUGAUGUUCCCAUGAAAAUAAUGACAUUGUGUUGAGGACCCAAAAGUUUCUAUUGCUCAUACUCUUCAAAAAUGCUACAAGGUAUGUAUCAGAUCCUCCAAUAUUAGUGCAUUUUCGGGAGACCCGACACAGGUGUGGCAACAUUUUUGAAGAGUCAAGCAACAUAGCAUAAAGUAUCUGCAUUCCUUUUUUUUUUUUUUUUUUUUUCUUU